rnacentral:lncRNA from 1 species
UUGGCAACAAACAAAGAGAGAGCUAAAAUAACCUGGUGAUGACCUCCCAUAUUUUUAGAUCAAUGCAUUUCAGGAAGGAUAGUUUCUAGAACAGUGGAGCGGGUGCAUGUUGGCUUUAUUUCAGUAAUUUCAGUUUCAAAGAUCAAACUAUUGCCUUCUGUUUACAUCAUGGCACUCUGAGAAAAAAUAGGAAUUCCUACCAGCACUUUUACUUGUUUAAUUGAUGGAAUAAUAAAAAUCGUGUAGACCUUGG